UUUUUAAGCGCCAGAACUGGUGAAUGUACUUGCAGUAACAGAUUGCCAGUUGACGAGGAGGAGGUUUAUCGAACGUUCGGCGGAUACCUCCCGGCUGCGGCACACAGUCGAAUUUUCUUUCGUAAAUCAUGCGAGGCGACUCGAUGGACAAAGGAAAGGAA
rnacentral:ncRNA from 1 species